rnacentral:rRNA from 1 species
UACAGAGGGUGCGAGCGUUGUUCGGAAUUACUGGGCAUAAAGGGCGCGUAGGCGGCCUGCUAAGUCGAACGUGAAAUCCCCGGGCUCAACCCGGGAACUGCGUCCGAUACUGACAGGCUUGAAUCCGGGAGAGGGAUGCGGAAUUCCAGGUGUAGCGGUGAAAUGCGUAGAUAUCUGGAGGAACACCGGUGGCGAAGGCGGCAUCCUGGACCGGCAUUGACGCUGAGGCGCGAAAGCCAGGGGAGCAAACGGG